CCGUUUAAUCUCACGGCUAAUUAUGGCGGAUUCAACACAACCUAUUAUCGACACAAAGGCUGCCGGAGUAGUGCGUGUGAGGGAGUGGACGAGCUGAAGACGCUACUAAGUUCAGGCACCCUGGGGUGUGCAGUGCUCGGGCCUACCUGCACCUACGCCACUUUCCAAAUGGUUGAUGUUGAACAAGGUCUAAGGCUCAGUACGCCCAUCAUCUCUGCGGGAAGUUUUGGUCUCAACUGCGAUUACACGCUCAACCUGCAGCGCAUCCUGCCUCCAGCACGCAAAAUCUCUUCCUUUUUCAUCAACUUCUGGCAAUACACCGACACCAAGUUGAAACCUGAAUGGGAGACGACCUAUAUUUACAAGAAGCCGAGCAACUCUGAGGAUUGUU